rnacentral:rRNA from 1 species
GAUGAACGCUGGCGGCGUGCCUAAUACAUGCAAGUCGAGCGAACAGACGAGGAGCUUGCUCCUCUGACGUUAGCGGCGGACGGGUGAGUAACACGUGGAGAACCUACCUAUAAGACUGGGAUAACUUCGGGAAACCGGAGCUAAUACCGGAUAAUAUAUUGAACCGCAUGGUUCAAUAGUGAAAGACGGGUUUGCGGUCACUUAUAGAUGGAUCCGCGCCGCAUUAGCUAGUUGGUAAGGUAACGGCUUACCAAGGCAACGAUGCGUAGGCGACCUGAGAGGGCGAUCGGCCACACUGGAACUGAGACACGCUCCAGACCCCUACGGGAGGCAGCAGUAGGGAAUCUUCCGCAAUGGGCGAAAGCCUGACGGAGCAACGCCGCGUGAGUGAUGAAGGUCUGCGGAUCGUAAAACUCUGUUAUUAGGGAAGAACAAAUGUGUAAGUAACGAUGCACGUCUUGACGGUACCUAAGCAGAAAGCCACGCCUAACUACGU